GUGACCAUUGGAUUCCUACAAUUAGAAUCAAACACAAAAUCUCCAUCUCCAGAUCUGUUUUUCCCCCAGCUCAGUUGAAGGAAUGCAUAAGGUGCAAAGAUGGAGGACUGCCCUUACUCAAUUGGCCAAUCUGAAAGGCUGUGAUAUCCUCAAUAGGGUUGAAUCAGAGAGCAUUAAGCUGAUUGUCAGCCAAAUUUCUUCAUUAUGCAAGCCACUUUUAUCAUCACCCCAAGAUGAAUCAGAGAGCAUUAAGCUGAUUGUCUGCCAAAUUUCUUCAUUAUGGAAGCCACUUUUAUCAUCACCCCAAGAUGUUAUGGGUCUAGAUACUCAUUUGGAGCAAGUGAAAUCUCUGCUAUGGAUGGAAAUUAAUGACAUACGAAUUGUUGGUACCUUGGGUAUUGGAGGAGUAGGAAAGACGACAGUUCUAAGAGCCGUUUUGAUGAGCUCUCUAAUCAAUUUGAAUCUUCUUGUUUCCUUGCGGAUGUUAAUGGUAAGGGUAGCAGAAUUAUCAUAACUACAUCAUAGCAAGUAAACUUCAUUUUAAGAAGGUUCUAAUUGUGCUUGAUGACAUAGAUCAAAGAAGGUUCUAACUGUGCUCAAUGACAUAGAUCAUAUAAACCAAUUCGAUUACUUUGUAGGAGAUCUUGGUUGGUUUGGUAAUGACAGUAAGAUUAUCAUAACAUCAUAGCAAAUAGACUUCGUUUUAAGAAAUUUGUAAUUGUGCUUGAUGACAUAGAUCAUAUAGACCAUUUGGAAUACUUUGAAGGAGAUCCUAGUUGGUUUGGUAACAACAGUAGAAUUUAUAACAACUAAAGACAAGCAAUUGGUAAGUGACUACGCUAGCUAACCAUGAAGUUGUUCUCUUGUUCAAUCAACACGCUUUCAAGAAAAAGUUCCAGAUAAGUGUUUUGAAGUAGCAAAAAUCAUGCUAGAGGCGGUGCUUUCUUUAGCCCGGAAAGUGUGGGGGUGCUUUCUUGUAGGAAAGACAUAACUGCAUGGAGAAGUGCUAUAGAGCGAUGGCGAAUAACUUUGGAUAAGAAAUUGUUAGACAACUCAAAAUAAGCUUUGAUGGAUUGGAGCAAGAGAUAUUUCUAGAUAUAGUAUGUUUUUCUCGAGGGUAUGAUGAAUAUUACAUCAUAAAUAUCCUUGAGAGUUGUGGAUUUGAACUUACUAUCAGAUUGAGUGUCCUAAUUGAAAAAUCUCUUGUGUUCGUCUCUGAAGAAUAUACAAUUGAAAUGCAUGAUUUGAUAAAAUGAUAUGGGUAAAUAUCUUGUUACUGUGAAAAAUGAUCCUGGAACAUAGCAUACGACGGCGCGUUGAAGAUUUGGACUUAGCAAAUUGCAAGAUGCUUAAAGAGCUUCCACCAAAAAUAGCUACCGUGACUGUAAAUUUUAAGGUGGCUCUGAAAAGUAUACAGAAUUUGGUGGCCAGUGUAUCUUCUCCCUGCAACAUGCCAUCUCCACUUCUAAUUCCUUGUCUGUCUCAGAGAGUGUUCACCAUGGUGCAUCCUGGUAUAGAGAUCCCAAUUUGGUUCAACCAUAGGGGACUCUGUGGAAAUGAGCUAGUGGUCAGGUUGGGUAAAAAUUGGUACGUAAAUGGUAACUUCUUCGGAUUUUCUCUAUGUUGCUGUCGAAGCUCAUAUGAAACUCAUAUGAAACCACGGUAGAAUUGAUACACUUAUCUAAUGAUGAUGAGUCGGAGAAGCUGAGCAAGAAACUUGAAUUAUACUCUCUUCCAGAGUGUAAUUCAGAAUUUGUAGUACAGUGAAUCUUCAUACGUCUUGCUAGUUUAUGGGGAUGGACAUAAGGCAAAUGGAAAAACACCAAAUGACUAUGAGCAUCUUAUGUUCUCUACCUUUGAAGUAAUGAAUGAGUUCGGAUAUCCUUUGUUGUAUAAGGAAUCAAUUGGGCCAGCUGGGACGGCUUGGUAAGCAAUGUGAGGCAGAAAUGGUCGAAAACAAUCCGUGCGUGCAUUUUGUUGUCAAUAUGGAAUGAAAGGAAUGCAAGAUGGUUUGAGGAUAGUGGUAGCCGUGUUCAGAAAAUUAAGAUGAGUUGUCUUCUUAUGUUUUUUUUGUGUAAAGAAGACUUAGUUGAAGAUGCAGAAUCUACACUUUGCAUCAUAGGAGUCGUGUAGAAGAAUAAGAAUUUUCUUUUUGUUGGUCUAUGAACUGUAAAUAUGGAUUCCUGCAGUCUUUCUGAUGAAGUUUUUCAAUAAUAUUGUCACUGUUACCAUUCUCGAAAAAGAAA